rnacentral:rRNA from 1 species
UGGGGAAUAUUGCACAAUGGGCGCAAGCCUGAUGCAGCCAUGCCGCGUAUGUGAAGAAGCCUCGGUUGUAAGACUUCAGCGAGGAGGAAGGUGGUGAACUUAAUACGUUCAUCAAUUGACGUUACUCGCAGAAGAAGCACCGGCUAACUCCGUGCCAGCAGCCGCGGUAAUACGGAGGGUGCAAGCGUUAAUCGGAAUUACUGGGCGUAAAAGCGCACGCAGGCGGUUUUGUUAAGUCAGAUGUGAAAUCCCCGGGCUCAACCUGGGAACUGCAUUUGAAACUGGCAAGCUAGAGUCUCGUAGAGGGGGGUAGAAUUCCAGGUGUAGCGGUGAAAUGCGUAGAGAUCUGGAGGAAUACCGGUGGCGAAGGCGGCCCCCUGGACGAAGACUGACGCUCAGGUGCGAAAGCGUGGGGAGCAAACAGAUUAGAUACCCUGGUAGUCCACGCUGUAAAACGAUGUCGA